rnacentral:lncRNA from 1 species
GGAAAAUGAGGGUGGCUUUUAAAAAAGCAGUGCUAAGGGUGGGGUAAGGUGCUCUCAGCUGUGUGAUCAGCUCAGGGCCCAUAUCCCUCAUAGCCCAAUUGCUAUGAGCUACCCCUAAGGAUGGGUGAGUCCCUUACAACUGGGAGAGAGGUGGAGCCUCUGCAAAUGGUGGGAUGGGUGAUAUAAAUGAGGGGCAGCCGUAGACUGAAAGUGAGUUAUUUUACCAAAGAUUCCUGUUCUGAUGGGCAUAAGGACCUGCAGAGAAUCCUCUAGCUGACUGAAGGAAAAACCAGUGUGGUGUCUUCUUGCAAAUGAUUCUGAUGAUAAUCACAAUUAUUUUUCCUGCUGGGGACAAAUUUCUACAGUGGCAGUAGUUCAUCUAUUGAUGUUGGACCUGAUGAACCCUUGAGCAUGGACAGAGCUUGGAUGGAGAAUUCUGUAAUUGGUCUCGACUUCCUCCCCUGCAGUGCUGCACAGCUGUAAGGAAGCUGUGAUGGCUUCGAGGAAGGAGUCUGGGUUCUGUGGCUGAUGUUCCCCUGCUCGCCCACCUGCAUCCUGCUCCAUCUCCAGCAUAUGGAGGGGCUAAUUGCUGCUGUAGGAGCUGCUGCUGUGCACAGAGUUCCUGAUUUGCUGCCAUGCUUGAGGAACAGGGAUAUUCAUACCGAGGAAAUAUGCAGCCAGCCUGAAUUGCUGCUGUGAGCUUGCUCCCAUACCACUGUUCCUGUGCCAACUGUUUGACACUGCACAGUCUGGUAGAAGCCUUGCACACAUGAAGCACGCUGCUGGGAGCACCACGUCUGCAGCUACUGCUGCAAACUGC